rnacentral:rRNA from 1 species
GACGAACGCUGGCGGCGUGCUUAACACAUGCAAGUCGAACGGAAAGGCCCUGCUUUUGUGGGGUGCUCGAGUGGCGAACGGGUGAGUAACACGUGAGUAACCUGCCCUUGACUUUGGGAUAACUUCAGGAAACUGGGGCUAAUACCGGAUAGGAGCUCCUGCUGCAUGGUGGGGGUUGGAAAGUUUCGGCGGUUGGGGAUGGACUCGCGGCUUAUCAGCUUGUUGGUGGGGUAGUGGCUUACCAAGGCUUUGAUGGGUAGCCGGCCUGAGAGGGUGACCGGCCACAUUGGGACUGAGAUACGGCCCAGACUCCUACGGGAGGCAGCAGUGGGGAAUAUUGCACAAUGGGCGGAAGCCUGAUGCAGCAACGCCGCGUGCGGGAUGACGGCCUUCGGGUUGUAAACCGCUUUCGCCUGUGACGAAGCGUGAGUGACGGUAAUGGGUAAAGAAGCACCGGCUAACUACGUGCCAGCAGCCGCGGUGAUACGUAGGGUGCGAGCGUUGUCCGGAUUUAUUGGGCGUAAAGGGCUCGUAGGUGGUUGAUCGCGUCGGAAGUGUAAUCUUGGGGCUUAACCCUGAGCGUGCUUUCGAUACGGGUUGACUUGAGGAAGGUAGGGGAGAAUGGAAUUCCUGGUGGAGCGGUGGAAUGCGCAGAUAUCAGGAGGAACACCAGUGGCGAAGGCGGUUCUCUGGGCCUUUCCUGACGCUGAGGAGCGAAAGCGUGGGGAGCGAACAGGCUUAGAUACCCUGGUAGUCCACGCUGUAAACGGUGGGUACUAGGUGUGGGGUCCAUUCCACGGGUUCCGUGCCGUAGCUAACGCUUUAAGUACCCCGCCUGGGGAGUACGGCCGCAAGGCUAAAACUCAAAGGAAUUGACGGGGCCCCGCACAAGCGGCGGAGCAUGCGGAUUAAUUCGAUGCAACGCGUAGAACCUUACCUGGGUUUGACAUGGAUCGGGAGCGCUCAGAGAUGGGUGUGCCUCUUUUGGGGUCGGUUCACAGGUGGUGCAUGGCUGUCGUCAGCUCGUGUCGUGAGAUGUUGGGUUAAGUCCCGCAACGAGCGCAACCCUUGUUCACUGUUGCCAGCACGUUAUGGUGGGGACUCAGUGGAGACCGCCGGGGUCAACUCGGAGGAAGGUGGGGAUGGCGUCAAGUCAUCAUGCCCCUUAUGUCCAGGGCUUCACGCAUGCUACAAUGGCUGGUACAGAGAGUGGCGAGCCUGUGAGGGUGAGCGAAUCUCGGAAAGCCGGUCUCAGUUCGGAUUGGGGUCUGCAACUCGACCUCAUGAAGUCGGAGUCGCUAGUAAUCGCAGAUCAGCAACGCUGCGGUGAAUACGUUCCCGGG